rnacentral:rRNA from 1 species
UACGUAGGCAGCGAGCGUUGUUCGGAGUUACUGGGCGUAAAGAGUGCGUAGGCGGUGCUCCAAGUCUGGUGUGAAAUCUCCCGGCUUAACCGGGAGGGUGCGCCGGAAACUGGGGUGCUGGAGUGUGGGAGAGGUAAGCGGAAUUCCCGGUGUAGCGGUGAAAUGCGUAGAUAUCAGGAGGAACACCGGUGGCGAAGGCGGCUUGCUGGGCCUUACCUGACGCUGAGGAGCGAAAGCGUGGGGAGCGAACAGG